rnacentral:lncRNA from 1 species
GCUAAACCUCCCAUUGGAGAACAGAAAAUUUAAUGAGCUUUUAAUGGAAUGCAAUGCUCAGAGUAGUAAAUUAUUUGUUAGUUGACGAUGCAAUCAGCAUGCUGAUUAAGGUUGCUUGGUUUUUUACUAAACAUUAACUGAAUGAAAACGGGUAGUCCUUGUUCUGCUUGGGGGGCUUUAAGGAAGCAAAUGGACUUUCAGAACAGAGAUUGUCAAUAAAGGUUCUGACACAACCACUUUGCUCGUGCAGAUCCUCUUUUUAAAAUUCACAGGAAAUCAGAUCAUCAGGUAUCUCUGCUGAGGAAGCUAAUUUUAGAGAGACAAUGUAUACAAAGUACUUGGCACAAAGGCCAAUGUACUAAAUGCUCCAGGAAUAGAACUACAGGCACUCCUAAUUACUGAAUGAAUAUUCUUCUUGAGCUCUGGAUGUGUCCUCAUGACACAGACCACACUGGACACCAACUCAGAUUUUGGGGGAAGGUUUCACGACCGUUAAGUGCAGACGUGCUGAUCACUGGGCCCCUUGAUACACAGCGGCUAAGCUCUCCUCUCAAGCUGGUGGGGCUGAUGCUGCCUUGAAGUGCUGAGAGAAGCCAUGACAAUUCACGGCAAGGUCUUUAUUGUUAGAACUCUUGCAUCAUGACAUCUUUAUUCAUGUGAAAAUACAGGAUGAAUUUCAACUAUAUGAUAUUGUUUAUGUUCAUCAGAAAUGUUAUUUGUCUUUACAAAGUCUAGUUUCAAUGAACCGACUAUGUAAUGGAUAUUAAAUAAACAUGGAAUUUUACAUGUUCA